UACAGAGGUCCCAAGCGUUGUUCGGAUUCACUGGGCGUAAAGGGUGCGUAGGCGGUCUUAUAAGUCAGUGCUGAAAUAUCCCGGCUUAACCGGGAGGGUGGCAUUGAUACUGUAGGACUUGAGUGAAGUCGAGGUAGGCGGAAUUGACGGUGUAGCGGUGAAAUGCUUAGAUAUCGUCAAGAACACCAAUAGUGAAGACAGUUUACUAGACUUCAACUGACGCUGAGGCACGAAAGAGUGGGGAUCAAACAGG
rnacentral:rRNA from 1 species